GAUGAACGCUAGCUACAGGCUUAACACAUGCAAGUCGAGGGACCGGCGCACGGGUGAGUAACACGUAUCCAACCUGCCCUUUACGCGGGGAUAGCCUUUCAAAAGAAAGAUUAAUACCCGAUAGAAAGGAUGGGGAUGCGUGACAUUAGGUUGUUGGUGAGGUAACGGCCCACCAAGACUUCGAUGGAUAGGGGUUCUGAGAGGAAGGUCCCCCACAUUGGAACUGAGACACGGUCCAAACUCCUACGGGAGGCAGCAGUGAUGAAUAUUGGUCAGUGGGCGCUAGCCUGAACCCGCCACGUAGCGUGAAGGAUGAAGGCUUAUUGGUCGUAAACUUCUUUUAUAUAAGAAUAUGUAUUAUAUGAAUAAGGAUCGGCUAACUCCGUGCCAGCAGCCGCGGUAAUUC
rnacentral:rRNA from 1 species